rnacentral:sRNA from 1 species
GUUUAGCCCCGAUGGAAGCGGUAUCCUUUUAUGGCAGAGUUUGCCAUAAAAGAUAUAGCGUACAGCGGGACGAAAG